rnacentral:rRNA from 1 species
UACGUAGGGUGCGAGCGUUAAUCGGAAUUACUGGGCGUAAAGCGUGCGUAGGCGGUUCGUUAUGUCUGCUGUGAAAUCCCCGGGCUCAACCUGGGAAUGGCAGUGGAAACUGGCGGGCUUGAGUGUGGCAGAGGGGGGUGGAAUUCCGCGUGUAGCAGUGAAAUGCGUAGAGAUGCGGAGGAACACCGAUGGCGAAGGCAGCCCCCUGGGCUAACACUGACGCUGAGGCACGAAAGCGUGGGGAGCAAACAGG